UACGGGGGGGGCAAGCGUUGUUCGGAAUUACUGGGCGUAAAGGGCUCGUAGGCGGCCAACUAAGUCAGACGUGAAAUCCCUCGGCUUAACCGGGGAACUGCGUCUGAUACUGGAUGGCUCGAGUUUGGGAGAGGGAUGCGGAAUUCCAGGUGUAGCGGUGAAAUGCGUAGAUAUCUGGAGGAAUACCGGUGGCGAAAGCGACUCUCUGGACGGCAACUGACGCUGAGGCACGAAAGCGUGGGGAGCAAACAGG
rnacentral:rRNA from 1 species